GACGAACCGUGCGAACGUUGUUCGGAAUCACUGGGCUUAAAGGGCGCGUAGGCGGGCGGUCAAGUCAGAGGUGAAAUCCCACGGCUCAACCGUGGAAGCGCCCCUGAUACUGAUCGUCUCGAGGGAGGUAGGGGCGUGCGGAACUUCCGGUGGAGCGGUGAAAUGCGUAGAUAUCGGAAGGAACACCGGUGGCGAAAGCGGCGCGCUGGACCUUUUCUGACGCUGAGGCGCGAAAGCCAGGGGAGCAAACGGG
rnacentral:rRNA from 1 species